AUGAGGCUUAGCUCUGCAAUGGGAUGCGAUCCGAAGCCCUUUGAGGGCUUAUAUAGGCUCUCCCAUCCAACUCCUAUUCCUACACGUCCUUUGGUGCAUGUGUCACCAUAUAUCCAAGCCGUUUCGG
rnacentral:ribozyme from 1 species